GAAAUUUUUCCAUGCAUCCCACCGUCUGAACGUUCAACACGAAGAUCUUAAAUUACUGAUAUAUUAUACAGAAGUUGAAUACCUUUUGCAUUUAUUAGUGAUUCAUAUAUGGCCUGAACAUUUUUUGUAGGCUAUAUAGGCAUUUUUAUAUGGAAGUGAAGAUGUAGCUAUUCUCUUUUAUGCCAUUGUUGAACUGAUAAAGGAAGGAAUAAGGACAUGCAUCUCUGCACUAUACGUAUAGGUUUCCCUGCAUGAAUAUAGCCAUUAUAGGAGCUCACUAAUAUUAAAAGGAAUGGGUUAGCAUGUCUGCUGUUGGUAAAUUUGCAGGUAUAUAUAUUGG